CAGCAGCCGCGGGAAUACCGAGGGUGCGAGCGUUAAUCGGAUUUACUGGGCGUAAAGCGUGCGUAGGCGGCUUCUUAAGUCGGAUGUGAAAUCCCUGAGCUUAACUUAGGAAUUGCAUUCGAUACUGGGAAGCUAGAGUAUGGGAGAGGAUGGUAGAAUUCCAGGUGUAGCGGUGAAAUGCGUAGAGAUCUGGAGGAAUACCGAUGGCGAAGGCAGCCAUCUGGCCUAAUACUGACGCUGAGGUACGAAAGCAUGGGGAGCAAACAGGAUUAGAUACCCCCGUAGUCCCUGUCUCUUAUAC
rnacentral:rRNA from 1 species